AGUGGAUGGGGAGCAACCUAGUUGUGCGUGUGUAAAGGUAGUGCCAAGAAAAGCGAUGAUCAUGUUGAAAAUCAAUUCCCGGUACCCGAAACCGACACAGGUGGGCAAGUAGAGAAUACUAAGGGGUGCGAGGUAACUCUCUCCAAGGAACUCGGCAAAAUGACCCCGUAACUUAGGGAGAAGGGGUGCCACCGAGAGGUGGUCGCAGUGAAGAGGCCCAGGCGACUGUUUAGCAAAAACAUAGGUCUCUGCAAACUCGAAAGAGGAGGUAUAGGGGCUGACGCCUGCCCAGUGCCGGAAGGUUAAAGAAGUUGGUCAGUCUUAGGAUGAAGCUAGCGACUGAAGCCCCGGUGAACGGCGGCCGUAACUAUAACGGUCCUAAGGUAGCGAAAUUCCUUGUCGGGUAAGUUCCGACCCGCACGAAAGGCGUAACGAUCUGGGCGCUGUCUCGGAGAGAGGCUCGGCGAAAUAGGAUUGUCCGUGAAGAUACGGACUACCUGCAUUUGGACAGAAAGACCCUAUGAAGCUUUACUAUAGCCUGGAAUUGUGUUCGGGCUUCCUGAGCGCAGGAUAGGUGGGAGGCGUAGAAGGUAUUCUUGUGGGGAUACUGGAGCCAACGGUGAGAUACCACUCUCAGGAGGCUAGAAUUCUAACUUAAUUAAGGACAGUUUCAGGUGGGUAGUUUGACUGGGGCGGUCGCCUCCAAAAAGGUAACGGAGGCGUACAAAGGUUCCCUCAGACUGGUUGGAAAUCAGUCGAAGAGUGCAAAGGCAGAAGGGAGCUUGACUGCGAGAAGUACAGUUCGAGCAGGGUGGAAACACGGUCUUAGUGAUCCGACGGUGCUGUGUGGAAGGGCCGUCGCUCAACGGAUAAAAGUUACUCUAGGAUAACAGGCUGAUCUCCCCCAAGAGUUCACAUCGACGGGGAGGUUUGGCACCUCGAUGUCGGCUCAUCGCAACCUGGGGCGGAAGUACGUCCCAAGGGUUGGGCUGUUCGCCCAUUAAAGCGGUACGUGAGCUGGGUUCAGAACGUCGUGAGACAGUUCGGUCCAUAUCCGAUGUAGGCGUGAGAAUAUUGAGAGGAGCCUUCCUUAGUACGAGAGGACCGGGAAGGACGCACCGCUGGUGUACCUGUUAUGAUGCCAAUUGUAAACGCAGGGUAGCCAAGUGCGGAGAGGAUAACCGCCGAAAGCAUCUAAGUGGGAAGCCCACCUCAAGAUGAGUAUUCUGGUGUAAGGUCACGGGAAGACGACCCGUAAAUAGGCACGAGGUGGAAGUGCAGAGAUGUAUGAAGCCGAAGUGUACUAAUAGACCGUCGGCUUGAC
rnacentral:rRNA from 1 species